rnacentral:piRNA from 1 species
UGCAUUUGCUGAAUUUGACAC